UCCCAGGAGUGAUGCCCACCAGCAGCCUUCCUGCAGUAGCACAGCCCUGGCACGGCAAGGGGACGCAUUGCAGCAUCCUCUGACCCCACAGAGCCCCAGGUCUGUCGGUGCCACUCGGGGCUCGCCCCUGACUCACAUCCUUGAUUCAUCCCAGGGCAGGGCUCGGCCAGCAGCCUGGGCUGGGCUCUUCCAGCUCCCUCGCCUCGCUCCUGCCGGAGUCACCCUUUCUGCUUUGAAUUAAGAGACGGGAAGGCAAGGCGGGGAAAAGAAUCAGCAAUAAAAAGAGAUGGAGCCAGCCCUGUGCCGGAGCCCGGAGCGAUAAGCAUGCAGCAGGGAGGAGGAGGAGGAGGGAUGGGGUUGGCCACGGUCACGUGCAGGGAUCUGCUUUCAGCACGGAUGGCGUGUUUGUGGGGCAGGGAGGGUGCGACAUGGGCCCCGGCUUCCAGGAAUCCUCCGAGCACAGGAUAUGCGGCGGGGAGCGAGUAAACAUGAUACAAUAGCUGGCCUGUAACUCGAUCGGCACCCUGCGCGAGCUGCUCCCUGCCCGGGGACCUUGGCGGCUCCUCGGGGUGUCAGGGUGCCGUGUUAUUGGAUGUGGGGUGCGGGGCGAUGGGGGAGCCCCUUUUGGCACAGCAGUGGGCGAGCUUGGCUGCUUUGGCUGAGCAAAGUGGGGAGCACGAGGGGGAACCCCCAAAAAUAAAACUGGGUGCACAUGGAGCGCACAGGCUGGGCGGCACAGCCACGGGAGAGGAUUUCAGAGAGCAGCUGUGGAUUUCCAGCUAUAUUCUUCAGCUCACACUGGGGAAGGAUGGGAGCAGGCCAAUUUUUCAAGCCCUCGGCUUGAUUUCUUUGCUGCAGGCGCGGCGGGCAGGGGCUGGCUGACCCUCUGCAGGAGCAGGGUGGGUUUCUGACCACCCGCCGCUUUAUUUGUAUUUUUAGAGCGCGCCGCAGGCACGAGGUCCCCGCAGCAAGUGAAAUUCCAGCCUGCAGCUCCGUGUCCCCAUCCCGCUCCUCCGACAGCCAGCAGCUGAGCCGGGGCUCAAGUGUCCUGGGGCACGGAGGUGGGGGCCACGCUCCGGGUGCCGAAACAGCGUCACCCCGUCCCGGGGAGGGGUGGGGACCUCGGGGACGUCAAGGAGAAGGCCAGAGCGUACUGUGCUCGCUGGAGGGACCGAUGAGUCGGCAGCGUGGUGAGUCAAAAGCUGGGAAGGGCAGUGAGCGAGCAGAGGGAGAUGCAAGGGGGUUAAAGCCGGCCAGCACAUCUCCUGAAGGCGUCUCAGGGCUUGCUGAUGCAAUUCUUCUACGGCCUCUUGUCUCUCUGCUGAGAGCCACGUGGGCUGUGAGGUUUUUGGGCUGAGCACCGGCACUUUUUGCUGGCUGCAGCCCGAGUGGCAGGGUGCUCGUGGGCUGCAGGGAGGUUUUUGGGUGCCGGCAUCACUUGGGUGUGAUGCGGGAAGGGUGCGUGGCCGGCAGCGUGACACCACUGGCUGUGCACGGACCUUGUCACCAGCACCGAGGUGACACAUCCAGCCAGGGCUGGGGCUGGACGGCGAGUGACUCAAGCAGGCAGCCGUCCCAGGGCUUGAAUCACCACCGAAAGCAGCCCCUGCCUGGCUGCUGGGGCUCACAAAGCUGCCUGCUUCAUCCGUGCAUGGGUACAUACAGCCGCUGCGCACCUACGGAGCUCGCUGUGGGCUUCUUGGAGAAGCCGGGCAGCUCUGGAGCACCCAAAGCUUCCCCAAAGGACCAGAUCUGUACCACCUCCCUCUCGUGGAAGAGGGAGAAAACCCAAUAUGCUGCCAGCAGCAAUGACAGGCAUGUGGCACACACCGGGAGGUGUCAAAAGAUGCUCACGUCAGCUUUGCCAGCAGCCCCGUGCCUCCUGCCCUGACCGUGUAGGGAAGAGCACCCGAGCGAUUUGCCUUUUGGAGCCUUUUGUUUCGUGGGCCAGCUCUCACCUACGGCAAAACCGUCUGCAGGAGCAGCCAGGAGAGAGCUGUGCCCUUCCUCCCCGCUUCAAGUGACAGGUACCAGCAUUUCCCACUGCUCCUGCACGGGAGAAGUGCCACGCUUAUCUUUAGGGGCACUCAUGCCAGAGGGAACAUGAAUAUGAAACAUCCAUUCACUUGAGGGUUGGUUUGGGGAGGAAAUUUAAUUUUUUUAAGCAUUUUUUUUCUUUAAUACAUCUCUUUUUGGCAACCAGCGCAGCAUUUUCCACUUGCUCCACAGCGUGCCUGGUGGUAGCUUCCCAAAGAUGCUUAAGGAUGUGCAUCCUUGCUCUGUGGUCCUCCUUGGCAAUACCAGCACGAAUCUGUGCUGGGGGUAUAAAUCUUGCCUCUCCUGGAGGUCUGGGGCUUCUCUGGGGCUGUCGUUCCCUCUCUGAGUGUUUCUGGGGAGAGGAAGCUGCGGCUAACCUCACCGCAAGCACAAAUUAGCUGGGUUUUGUUGCUUUUUGGGUUGGUUUUUGUUUUGUGCUCGGCUCGAACAAUAAAACAUCUGUUCCCGAGCCUGGCAGCUGGAGCAGAAUGAAAUGACGUUAGCAUCAAUUAUCCUCCGGGAUGGGGAGGAUGACAGGAGAAUGGUGCAGAUUUCCUUAACGCGGAAUAACAAACGAGAACAGCUUGGCUAGGUGUUUAGUGCUCCCGGACAGCGUCCAAAUAGCAGCCCUGCUCCAGCCCUCCUGCUGGGAUGCCCCAAGUCGUGCACGGCGGCUCCCCGUGCCCGCUGGGCUCUUUGGUUGCCAAACGCGUGCCAUAGGGAGAUGCUUCUGCAGUGAUCGAAGAACAACACCCGUUUUGGUGGAAGCCAAAUGCAGAAGGGUUGCCCGUCAGCAGCAGGGACCUUUCUCAAUGCACCGCCCCCCGAGCACCCCAAAAUUUGGCUCUGCUACCACACCCAAGGCUCUGGCCGGGUCGGAUGUGCACCCAGCAGUGCUGGGGUUUGCAGCGGGACGGGAUGAUGCAGGAUCACGUUCCCUGGGCGCAGAAAGGGGCCAUUAACGGGAGGCAAGGGGGGAGCGACUCGGCACAAAGGCUGGGAUUUGUUGGCACCCGCGGGGAGCAGCUGCUGAGUGCCAGCCGGCGGCGAUGCGCGGGCGCGUGAUGCGGCCGCCUGACCCCACCAUGGGGCUGGCAGAGGGCACCGAGCUGCCCUCGGAGGAAACCCAGGCACACUCAGAUGGGCAGCAACCUGGUGGUUUUCUUCCCGAGGCCGGUGGGAGCGAUGGCCGUGUGAACUGCCCCCUCUUCAGGCAGCAGGGCUGAAGGCCUGCUCCCCGCAGCGCUCCCCAAAGCAGCACAGCUCUCCAGCUGCCCUGCGCCAUUUGGGGAGCCGGGCUCCCUCUCGGCUCUGCCCAAGGAGCCCUUGGUGAUGCCACUGGAUGCUCCUGCCCUGGAAAAAAAAAAAAAAAAAAAGCUGUAAGAGUCCCCUAACCUGGUCAAAUAAAAUCGUUGUGGUCCAUCAGACGAGCUGGUGAGCGAGGAAGAGGAUGGUCAGCUUCGCCCCCCCUGCCCAGGGGGGUUGUGUCGCCGAUGUGAAACCAUACGGAUGGCACCAGGAGGGGGACAAAGGGGCUGCAAAGGCACGUUUCAAAGCCUCUUUAUUUAUUUGUAUUUUUUUUUUCCUGCUGGAAACAGAGGGCUCGUAGCCCCAGGCAGAGCAGAGCAGCAGGGGAACCUCCAGCAGCAGCUGUUUUCCAGGCAGAACUGUCCGGCCUCCCUUGGCAUGCAGGCACAGGGAGGCUUCAUUUGGAAGGAAUCAUCCGAGCUCAGCUCCAGGCCGGCUUUGCAGCGUGCAGCAGGCGAGCGGCAGGGAUGCGAGAUGCAGGGAUCAGAGGAAAAGCUCCCCCCGGGCUGAGGGGGCCGAGGAGCAACCCCCUGCAUGCCAAUCGCCGGAGUCAUCCCCGUGGUCCUGGAAACCAGCGCCGGGUCCUGGAAACGCUGCUGGGAGAGAGGCUGCACCAUAAAUUUGAGAUGCGAGGCAGCCCCGGAGAGGCAAUAAAUACGUUGGCGUGCACGUCCACA